rnacentral:ncRNA from 1 species
CACCUGGUUGAUCCUGCCAGUAGUCAUAUGCUUGUCUCAAAGAUUAAGCCAUGCAUGUCUAAGUAUAAGCUUUAAACGGCGAAACUGCGAAUGGCUCAUUAAAACAGUUAUAGUUUAUUUGGUGAUCGAUUACUAUUUGGAUAACCGUAGUAAUUCUAGAGCUAAUACAUGCGUCAAGGCCCGACUUCGGAAGGGCUGCGUUUAUUAGAUACAGAACCAACCUAGGCUCCGCCUAGUCCUUGUUGGUGAUUCAUAAUAACCCGGCGAAUCGCACGGCUUGUCCGGCGAUGGACCAUUCAAGUUUCUGACCUAUCAGCUAUGGACGGUAGGGUAUUGGCCUACCGUGGCGUUGACGGGUAACGGGGAAUUAUGGUUCGAUUCUGGAGAGGGAGCCUGAGAAACGGCUACCACAUCUAAGAAGGCAGCAGCGCGCAAAUUACCCAAUCCUG